rnacentral:rRNA from 1 species
GACGAACGCUGGCGGCGUGCUUAACACAUGCAAGUCGAACGGAAAGGCCCCUUUGGGGGUACUCGAGUGGCGAACGGGUGAGUAACACGUGAGUAACCUGCCCUUGACUUCGGGAUAACUUCAGGAAACUGGGGCUAAUACCGGAUAGGAAUCCUUGCUGCAUGGUGGGGGUUGGAAAGCUUCGGCGGUUUUGGAUGGACUCACGGCUUAUCAGCUUGUUGGUGGGGUAGUGGCUUACCAAGGCUUUGACGGGUAGCCGGCCUGAGAGGGCGACCGGCCACAUUGGGACUGAGAUACGGCCCAGACUCCUACGGGAGGCAGCAGUGGGGAAUAUUGCACAAGGGGCGGAAGCCGGAUGCAGCAACGCCGCGUGCGGGAGGACGGCCUUCGGGUUGUAAACCGCUUUCAGCAGGGGCGAAGCUUGUGGUGACGGUACCUGCAGAAGAAGCACCGGCUAACUACGUG